UAUUAUUUAGAAUGUAAAUUUUUAUACUAAAGUAGUAAUAGUUAUGUUCUUGAAACUUUAAAAAUUUGGCGGUAUUUUAGUCUAUCCAGAGGAACCUGUUUUAUAAAUGAUAAUCCACGUUGGACCUUACUUAAGUUUGUAUUCAGUUUAUAUACCGUCGUUAUCAGAAUAUUUUAUAAGAAUAAUAAUAUUCAAUAUUUUUUAUUAAAAUUUAUAUCAGAUCAAGGUGUAGCUUAUAUUUAAGUAAUAAUGGGUUACAAUAAAUAUAUUUAAAUGGAUGAAAUUAUGAAAAAAUUUUUGAAAGUGGAUUUGGUAGUAAAAUUAUAAAGAUUAAUAAUUUGAUUUUAGCUCUAAAAUAUGUACACAUCGCCCGUCGCUCUUAUUAUUAAAGUAAGAUAAGUCGUAACAUAGUAGAUGUACUGGAAAGUGUAUCUAGAAUGA
rnacentral:rRNA from 1 species